CAGAUAGAAGAGACAGAUUCAGAGAGUGAGAGAGAGGAGUGCCCAGUGAGUGGAGUGGUGCAAAGUCAGCCUCCAGUUGUUUCCAAAAGAGCCCAGCAGACAGACUCGGAGAGUGAGAGUGAGCAGCUCCCCCAUACCAGUGGACCAAGAGGGCCUCCAGAUGUUACUGACCUCAUCAGCAGACAGACUCAGAGAGUGAGAG